rnacentral:rRNA from 1 species
GAUGAACGCUGGCGGCGUGCUUAACACAUGCAAGUCGAACGAAGCACUUUUAUUUGAUUUCUUCGGAAUGAAGAUUUUAGUGACUGAGUGGCGGACGGGUGAGUAACGCGUGGGUAACCUGCCUCAUACAGGGGGAUAACAGUUAGAAAUGACUGCUAAUACCGCAUAAGACCACAGCAACGCAUGGUGCAGAGGUAAAAACUCCGGUGGUAUGAGAUGGACCCGCGUCUGAUUAGGUAGUUGGUGGGGUAACGGCCUACCAAGCCGACGAUCAGUAGCCGACCUGAGAGGGUGACCGGCAACAUUGGGACUGAGACACGGCCCAAACUCCUACGGGAGGCAGCAGUGGGGAAUAUUGCACAAUGGGGGAAACCCUGAUGCAGCGACGCCGCGUGAGCGAUGAAGUAUUUCGGUAUGUAAAGCUCUAUCAGCAGGGAAGAAAAUGACGGUACCUGACUAAGAGGCACCGGCUAAAUACGUGCCAGCCGCCGCGGUAA